UCAAGGGGAAAAGCACGUCGAGCUAGCGUCAUUAAUGAUUUGAUUGAUAACAGCUGGGCUGGUUGUAUCGUGUCGCUACUGACAUCGAAGUUUAGUCUACUAAGGACAUUCUGUGUGGUACAGUUCGUAAUAUGGCAUGGAUAUCCUUUAUUUAGUAGUAUUGCUUUUUUUUCUUCUUUAAAAAAACAAUAGACUACUAAGGAUAUGAAACACAACCACAGUAGGCCUACAGAUGGGCUAUUUGGCCGAUGAAACGGAAGAGAGCUGUGCCAGUUGUGAGCGCACAGCGGAGGCAAAGAAAAGAAACUCAGUCAGGCAGCAGUGGGAGCGGGACUCGUUCGGGGCAAAUAUACAGCACAAACGCAACACGGAGGUGCAGAAACAGAACAGUAUCCAAUGGUGCCAUGGCCUCAAGGAGCCAGAGCAGAGUGGGAUUCAGAGCGCUACCAGUCGGUGUGGCUUCUUCCACCCUCCAGCUCCUUGUAAUUAUCUGUGGUUGCUUACUUGAUGCCAAGGGUCAAGCUGCUGAGACAGAACACCGGCCACUGUUAUCACUGUCAUUGGUACAGAGGGGAAGUCAUGCAUCCCAACCUUGACUCUUCCCACCACCAACCCUCAGAGCUCUAAUUGGUCACAACAAUUGAACACACCUGUGGGGGCCUGCCGGAGAAUAUUGCAUGAUACGUGUUAAAAACAGUUACAUUUUUGGAAAUAUUCUGUUUGCAAACACAUUAACUGAAAACAUGAUGAAUAACCGUAAGUAGUAUUCUACUGAGACUUAAAAAUAAAACACGAUUAGAUAUUCAAAUCUGUAAAAUGUGUAUUUGACAUGAGAAUAUUAACUAUAGGGUGUUCCUCUACAUUUUCUUGGUUCAUGUGCACAAUUUUUUAUUCAGUAUUAACAAUGUUUAAUGUCAUGUCAGAAGUCUCAAUCUACUUGAGAGCUCUUUAAAAAUCACAUAUUGGACCUCAAGUUUUGUUAAACCAACACUGUAACAAAACAACAUUGUCUAUGCAGGAAAUAUAACAAUGACCAGAGUACAACACAAUUCUUUAAUUGCUUUCAGAAAUUUCAGAAAAUUGGAAAUCAGAAAUCCCACCGCUGGGAAAUGAACAUUGUUAUAAAUAAAAUAGGUAAAUACGAAUGUUAUAGUUAUUAUAUUAAA